GGCACUUAUACGCCAACAUACACCAUGCUGGUCUAAGAGGAUCUGACGUAUUGCAAUGCAAAAGUACAGAAUGUAAACAAACCUUGUCCCAUGGUGGCAAAAGAAACGCAGAGACCUGGUUGCUUAUCCUGAUCCUGAAACUAGCUUGCCAAGUGAAGGCGGACAAGCCACUUCCUCCUCCUUCACUAGAUGACCUCGAUUGUCUACCCUUCCAGCUCUGACCUUCCUUGGCUGAGGGACAUCUCAGGCCAGGCUAGUGGCGUAGUAUGUGAAAAGGAAGAUGGUUCAUGCUUUUUUCUGCUUAGUUAGAAAAGAUUCUCUGGAUGAGGCCAGCUCCCAGAAUUGCUUAAAAGAGGGAAGGGAGAGGGCAGUAGACUACAAUGGAAAGAGUUUUCAGGCCUGGUGUCACUUGGGAGAAAGGGCUGGGUCAUUGUCGUAAGACAGGUACAUCUGACUGGGCAGAAGAUUGGUUUCCUGUUGAAAGAUGUUGGUCCUCAUGGUCGUCAGCAGGUGUAUGAAGAUGGAAGAUCUGUCAACUGGCAAGUGAUUUGUCCAGCUGGUGAGUGUUGGAGCAGGGUCUCAAACCCAGGACUUUUCAACCUAAAGUAUGGGUUCUUUCCUCUCUACUGUACAACCAACCAGUCAAGAAAGGAGAGGACACCAGCACCAGGGUUUGGGUCCCUGCUACCCUAGCCCAGAGAGAUUCAGCCACAAUAAACUACUUCCCAUCCACUAA